UACGAGGGGGGCGAGCGUUGUUCGGAAUUAUUGGGCGUAAAGGGUGCGUAGGCGGUUUGGUAAGUCUUAUGUGAAAUCUACAGGCUCAACUUGUAGUCUGCAUGAGAAACUGCCGGGCUUGAGUAUGGGAGAGGUGAGUGGAAUUCCUGGUGUAGCGGUGAAAUGCGUAGAUAUCAGGAGGAACACCUGUGGCGAAAGCGGCUCACUGGACCAUAACUGACGCUGAGGGACGAAAGCUAGGGGAGCAAACAGG
rnacentral:rRNA from 1 species